rnacentral:rRNA from 1 species
GUCGAGGGGGCCCAGCAAUGGGUCACCGGCGAACGGGUGCGUAACACGUGAGCGACCUGCCCUGAGAUGGGGAAUAGCCGGCCCAACGGCCGGGUAAUACCGCAUACGCUCUCUGAGCUGCAUGGCUUGGGGAGGAAACCUUUUGGGUCUCAGGAGGGGCUCGCGCCCUAUCAGCUAGUUGGCGGGGUAACGGCCCACCAAGGCAAUGACGGGUAGCUGGUCUGAGAGGAUGGCCAGCCACAUUGGGACUGAGAAACGGCCCAGACUCCUACGGGAGGCAGCAGUGGGGAAUCUUGCGCAAUGGCCGAAAGGCUGACGCAGCGACGCCGCGUGGAGGAUGAAGCCCUUCGGGGUGUAAACUCCUGUUGCCCGGGACGAACCUCAGGUUUUGACCUGACUGACGGUACCGGGUGAGGAA